GUAGAGAGACCGCCGUCCCAUCUCCACCUGCCAUCUGUGGGUCUUCCCAGGACCAGUCUGUGAGGUCCCUCAACAUUUGCGAGUAAGGACCACCUGCUUCUGCACCUGGCAACUCCGGCUGCUGCUGGGGAUCUGGGCCGGUCCCAUCUCCACCUGCCUGUUGUGGUUCCUCACAGGACCAGUCUAUGAGGACCCCUACUUCGGGUUCCUGCGGCCGCCUCAGGG